rnacentral:rRNA from 1 species
GAUGAACGCUGGCGGCGUGCCUAAUACAUGCAAGUCGAGCGAACAGACGAGGAUCUUGCUCCUCUGACGUUAGCGGCGGACGGGUGAGUAACACGUGGUUAACCUACCUAUAAGACUGGGAUAACUUCGCGAAACCGGAGCUUAUACCGGAUAAUAUAUUGAACCUCAUGCUUCCAUAGUUAAAGUCGGUUUUUCUUUCACUUAUAGAUGGAUCCGCGCCGCAUUAGCUAGUUGGUAAGGUAACGGCUUACCAAGGCAACGAUGCGUAGCCGACCUGAGAGGGUGAUAGGCCAGACGGGAAGAGAGACACGGACCAGACUCCGACGGGAGGCAGCAGUAGGGAAUCUUACGCAAUGGGGGAAAGCCGGACGGAGCAAAGCCGCGUGAGUGAUGAAGGUCUUCGGAUCGGAAAACGCUGUUAGUAGGGAAGAACAAAAGUGUAAGUAACUAUGCACGUAAUGACGGUACCUAAUGAGAAAGCCACGGCUAACUACGUG